rnacentral:rRNA from 1 species
GACGAACGCUGGCGGCGUGCUUAACACAUGCAAGUCGAACGGAAAGGCCCUGCUUUUGCGGGGUGCUCGAGUGGCGAGCGGGGGAGUAACACGUGAGUAACCUGCCCUUGACUUUGGGAUAACUUCAGGAAACUGGGGCGAAUACCGCGGAGGAGCUCCUGCUGCAUGGGGGUGGUUGGUAAGAUUCGGCGGUUGGGGCUGGUCUCGCGGCUUAUGGGCUUGUUGGGCGGGUAGGGGUGUACCAAGGCUUUGACGGGUAGCCGGCAUGGGAGGGUGACCGGCGACAUUGGGACUGAGGUACGGACCAGUAUCGUAUGGGAGGCAGUAGGGGGGAGUAUUGCAGAAUGGGCGGAAGUGUGAGGUGACAACGUUGCGUGCGGGAUGCUGGCUUUCGGGUUGUAAACAGAUUUCGAAUUUGACGAAGAGUGAGUGACGGUAACGGGUAAAGAAGCACCGGCUAACUACGUG